AUGAAUAUCAUGUGUUCGAAUUCUUAGGGUUGUGGGCGGCCCGAGACAGUUCAUGAGAUUAGUAACCUGAUUAGGUUGCAACGCCCUGGUCUAGUCUUUCUCUCAGAGACCAAGAUGUCUGACAAGAGAGCACGAGGGCUAAAUUGGAGAUUUGGGUUCACAAAUGCCUUUGGAGUUAACUGUGUGGGAUUAAGUGUAGGACUUUGCCUAUACUGGAAUAACAACUCAAUCAUGACUUUGAAAUCUUUUAGCGGGUCACACAUUGGUGUCAUGGUUCAGGAUGAUAAUGUUGGAGAUUUGGAGUGGCGAUUCACCGGAUUCUAUGGUGAUCCGAAGAGAACAAAGAGGAAAGAUGUUGGGACCUAUUGA
rnacentral:rRNA from 1 species